GACGAACGCUGGCGGCGUGCUUAACACAUGCAAGUCGAACGGAAAGGCCCUGCUUGCUGGGUACUCGAGUGGCGAACGGGUGAGUAACACGUGGGUGAUCUGCCCUGCACUUCGGGAUAAGCCUGGGACACUGGGUCUAAUACCGGAUAGGAGCCAUUUUUAGUGUGAUGGUUGGAAAGUUUUUUCGGUGUAGGAUGAGCUCGCGGCCUAUCAGCUUGUUGGUGGGGUAAUGGCCUACCAAGGCGGCGACGGGUAGCCGGCCUGGGAGGGUGGACGGCCACAUUGGGACUGAGAUACGGCCCAGACUCCUACGGGGGGCAGCAGUGGGGAAUAUUGCACAAUGGGCGCAAGCCUGAUGCAGCGACGCCGCGGGGGGGAUGACGGACUUCGGGUUGUAAACUCCGUUCGCUAGGGACGAAGCUUUUUGUGACGGUACCUAGAGAAGAAGCACCGGCUAACUACGUG
rnacentral:rRNA from 1 species